CCGGCGCACGGGUGAGUAACGCGUAUGCAACCUACCUACUACAGGGGAAUAACCCGGAGAAAUUCGGACUAAUACCGCAUAAUACAGGGGUCCCGCAUGGGAAUAUUUGUUAAAGAUUUAUCGGUAGUAGAUGGGCAUGCGUUCCAUUAGCCAGUUGGUGAGGUAACGGCUCACCAAAGCAACGAUGGAUAGGGGAACUGAGAGGUUUAUCCCCCACACUGGAACUGAGACACGGACCAG
rnacentral:rRNA from 1 species